rnacentral:misc_RNA from 1 species
AUCUGUGCUCUUAAUAAGAACAUACUUGCUGGCCGAAACAGCCUUAUGUGGCGACAACCCACAUGAGUUGGUGAGGUAAGAGAGAGUUAAAGAUUGGGCUUUUGAGAUUGAUGUUGAGUUUACAGAAGGCAGGGUUUGAAUAUAACGAGCAUAACAAGCUUUGGAAUCUACGAUGCUAUGAUUGAUGAGGAUUUUGGAUACGAAACGAAACAUUUCUUCAAAAUAGAAAGAAGGGGUUUUAGCAAUAUAAACUUACAGCAUAAGAGAAGCUGAAAAUGGCGGAUGAAAGCCCCUUCGCAGUUCACUCGCAGGGAUACUAUCGUUCGGACCUAAAAGCCGAAUCUGCGGCUCUGAAAAGAAUCUGAAAACUGGUGAGCAAGAACAAACAAAAAAGGAUCCGGCCACCUAGUUUCCUAGUCGACCCGAUUCCACUAAAAUACAUUAGGCUUAAGUUUUUUAAGCAGUGGAACAAGGCUGACAACGGAUUGGAUUUUGCUG